UUGAAGAUGCUAUUUAAGCCACAGUUCAAGAUCGACCAUGAAAGGUACAUGAAACAUGGAAACUUUUUCGGCGCCUUUGAAGCGGGCAAGCCCGUUCUGUUUGUCGCGGAGCCUGAUCUUGUGAAACAAGUUCUAGUAAAGGAUUUCGC